rnacentral:rRNA from 1 species
UACGUAGGUGGCAAGCGUUGUCCGGAAUCACUGGGCGUAAAGCGCGCGCAGGCGGCGAUCUACGUCUGGGGUGAAAGCCCGGAGCUCAACUCCGGGACUGCCUUGGAUACGGGAUCGCUUGAGGAUUGGAGAGGCGAGGGGAAUUCCACGUGUAGCGGUGAAAUACGUAGAUAUGUGGAGGAACACCUGUGGCGAAGGCGCCUUGCUGGCCAAUUUCUGACGCUGAGGCGCGAAAGCGUGGGGAGCAAACAGG